rnacentral:rRNA from 1 species
UGCACAUCUUGACGGUACCUAACCAGAAAGCCACGGCUAACUACGUGCCAGCAGCCGCGGUAAUACGUAGGUGGCAAGCGUUAUCCGGAAUUAUUGGGCGUAAAGCGCGCGUAGGCGGCUUUUUAAGUCUGAUGUGAAAGCCCACGGCUCAACCGUGGAGGGUCAUUGGAAACUGGAAAACUUGAGUGCAGAAGAGGAAAGUGGAAUUCCAUGUGUAGCGGUGAAAUGCGCAGAGAUAUGGAGGAA